CAAUAGCGUAUAUUAAAGUUGUUGCGGUUAAAAAGCUCGUAGUUGGAUUUCUGCCGAGGACGACCGGUCCGCCCUCUGGGUGUGUAUCUGGUUUGGCCUGGGCAUCUUCUUGGAGAACGUAGCUGCACUUGACUGUGUGGUGCGGUGUCCAGGACUUUUACUUUGAGGAAAUUAGAGUGUUUCAAGCAGGCGCACGCCUUGAAUACAUUAGCAUGGAAUAAUAAGAUAGGACCUUAGUUCUAUUUUGUUGGUUUCUAGAGCUGAGGUAAUGAUUAAUAGGGAUAGUUGGGGGUAUUCGUAUUCCGUUGUCAGAGGUGAAAUUCUUGGAUUUACGGAAGACGAACUACUGCGAAAGCAUUUACCAAGGAUGUUUUCAUUAA
rnacentral:rRNA from 1 species